rnacentral:rRNA from 1 species
AUACGUAGGGUGCGAGCGUUGUCCGGAAUUACUGGGCGUAAAGAGCUCGUAGGUGGUUUGUCGCGUCGUCUGUGAAAUUCCGGGGCUUAACUCCGGGCGUGCAGGCGAUACGGGCAUAACUUGAGUACUGUAGGGGAGACUGGAAUUCCUGGUGUAGCGGUGAAAUGCGCAGGUAUCAGGAGGAACACCGGUGGCGAAGGCGGGUCUCUGGGCAGUAAUUGACGCUGAGGAGCGAAAGCAUGGGUAGCGAACAGGAUUAGAUACCCUGGUAGUCCAGGCCGUAAACGGUGGGCGCUAGGGGUAGGGGUCUUCCACGACUUCUGUGCCGUAGCUAACGCAUUAAGCGCCCCGCCUGGGGAGUACGGCCGCAAGGCUAAAACUCAAAUGAAUUGACGGGG